rnacentral:rRNA from 1 species
AGAGUUUGAUCCUGGCUCAGAUUGAACACUCGCCGCAUGCCUUACACAUGCAAGUCGAACGGCAGCACGGGGGCAACCCUGGUGGCGAGUGGCGAACGGGUGAGUAACAUAUCGGAACGUGCCCUGGAGUGGGGGAUAACUAGUCGAAAGACUAGCUAAUACCGCAUACGAUCUACGGAUGAAAGUGGGGGAUCGCAAGACCUCAUGCUCGUGGAGCGGCCGAUAUCUGAUUAGCUAGUUGGUGGGGUAAAGGCCUACCAAGGCAUCGAUCAGUAGCUGGUCUGAGAGGACGACCAGCCACACUGGGACUGAGACACGGCCCAGACUCCUACGGGAGGCAGCAGUGGGGAAUUUUGGACAAUGGGCGCAAGCCUGAUCCAGCAAUGCCGCGUGAGUGAAGAAGGCCUUCGGGUUGUAAAGCUCUUUUGUCAGGGAAGAAACGGUGGGAGCUAAUACCUUCUGCUAAUGACGGUACC